rnacentral:rRNA from 1 species
AACGCGAAGAACCUUACCAGCCCUUGACAUGCCAGGGAGCUUGCUGAGAGGCGAGUGUGCCCGAAAGGGAACCUGGACACAGGUGCUGCAUGGCUGUCGUCAGCUCGUGUCGUGAGAUGUUGGGUUAAGUCCCGCAACGAGCGCAACCCUUGUGAUAGUUGCCAGCACGUAAUGGUGGGAACUCUAGUCAGACUGCCCAGAUCAACUGGGAGGAAGGUGGGGACGACGUCAGGUCAGUAUGGCCCUUACGCCUUGGGCUGCACACGUACUACAAUGCCCAGCACAAUGAGAACCGAGACCGCGAGGUGGAGGAAAUCUGCAAAACUGGGCUCAGUUCGGAUUGGAGGCUGCAACUCGCCUCCAUGAAGUCGGAAUCGCUAGUAAUCGCAGAUCAGCAUUGCUGCGGUGAAUACGUUCCCGGGUCUUGUACACACGC